GACACACGGACAGGAGAGGCGCCGUGCGCGGCUCUGAGGGUCGGGGUGACAACAUGUCGUAGGGGUGACAGGAUCCUAGGGAUUGCAACAGGGUCCUAGGGAUAACAGGAUCCUGUGGGUAACAACAGGAUCUUAGGGAUAACAGGAUGCUAGGGAUAACAACGGGAUCCUAUGGGUGACAGGAUCCUGUGGAAAACAUCAGGAUCCUAGGGAUAUCAGGAUCAUAGGCAUAACAAAAGGAUCCUAUGGAUAACAGGAUCCAACGGUAACAACAGGAUCCUAGGGUUAACAACAGGAUUUGAGGGAUAAUAACAGGAUCCUAGGGUAACAGCAUCCUAGGGGUGACAAGAUGCUACAGUAACAACAGGAUCCUAGGGACAACAGGAUUCUAGGGAUAUCGACAGGAUCUUGGGGAUAACAGGAUCCUACGGAUAACAAGACCCCACAGUAACAACAGGAUCCUAGGGGUGACAGGAUCCUAGAGAUAACAACGGGAUCGUACAGAUAACAACAGGAUCUUAGGGAUAGCAGUAGCACGUAGGGGCUCUGCCCAACAGACUGAGCUUGCCUUUUAUCUCUGCGAGUCGUUCUGUGGUGAAACAGACAGGAGGUUGCACCGUGUUUGUGGCGGAAAGACAGCUCUUUUUGAGAGCCCUUUUUGGCUGUAGCAAUUCGCUCCUCGUCUGCAGAGGCUGUUGACGUGUCAGCCUGGAGAGUAUUGUUGCUUAUUCAGCUGCCUUCUGCUUUUUGGCCCUCCUCACCCUUCUUUCCUCAGGACAUGUACUGCAGAGAUGCAAGUGUUCAGCCUAUGAAAAACCUGUUGCAGUUGGAGGACUUUCUGGUCGGACUAGGAAGUUCAAUGUAGCAGAAGUUUCUUCAGACAGAGCCUUAGGAAGGCGUGUUUGAUUACAGCAGGAGCAAGUACAGUAUUUCGUACAAAAGCUGGCAGCUCUAAGCUCUCAGUUUUUAGAAAUUUGAUUUGAUUCCAUCCUCCCUGGGUUUCAGUAGCUUUACUAGUGUGGACACCAGAACUUAACACAGUUUAAAAUAUCUAUCCAUUAGUGCUAUGUACAAAGCAUCACACUGGACACUUAAAGUGAGAUGCUUUUCUGCUAGAAUUCCUGCAGAAUAAAAUGAUCCAGGAGGCCAUUUAUAUAUAUAUAAAGCUCCUCAUGACUGGAACAGUGUGGGGUAAGCCACACAGCUUUUGCAGAAGGAAGACCGAAUAUUAGAAAGGAGUUGGAGCAGGAGAAGGGAGACUUGAUCUCAUGAAGAAGGAUCUAAUUCAGUCUUGAAAAGCUUUAAUAUACUAACAGCUUUUGUCCUUCCAUUCGAUUCAGCUUCUAUACGAGACAUCAGAAUGUGUCAAAAACCUUUAAGUUCUUUCACUGAGCAUCAGGCAUGUUAAUGCAAAUACAUUAGGAGUAAUCCCCCCGUAAGGAGAGACAGUAACGUAGCCCACACGACAUCAGUAAAGUGUUUACAAGGUAUUAAUAAGCCUACUGUGACAAGAUGUAUUUAAUGGGAAGCAACAAGGAAUUUGUUUUAUUAGUUUUCCUCCACCCUCUGGUAAUAAAUCUUAAAAGCUUCAAUAUUGAUUCAAUGAAAUGAAUGGCUGAAUCGUUCUGGAGAGGCUCUGACAAGUGGACAAAUGCUUCCAUGGUUACAUUGUGCUAUGCAGUAUGGUUACUGAGCUUUGUUGGUUUCCUCCCUCUGCCAUUGAAGUAAAAUAACAAACCACAGGGAAGCACCACACAUGGUGGGCAGAAACUGGAAGCAACUUUAAAAGAUCAAGCUAACUGAUCUUAUACAGAUUUUGAACAAUAUGUUUUUUGUUGAUUUAUACUGUAUACCCGAGACAUGCAUUUCAGUAUUCUCUCCUUCGUGUAUCUCAUUCUCAUUGAGCCUUUUUAUCGCUUGUCUGCACUGCUUCCAACUUUUGAUGUUUUUGAUAAAUUAAAUGGCUAUGUGGGAGUGUGUUUCAUAACAGUGUUAAAUGGAUUAUGUUUUUCUAGGAAUAUUUUUGUAUCAAGUGAUGUUGCUGCAUCACUGCAUAGACUCCUGCAAUACCUAGAUGUGGAAUAAAAAAUCACAUAUAGGACUUACAAGCAAGUUGUUUAGGGUGCUUUACAGUAUAGCAUAAUUAAGAUGUUUGCUUUUCCAUCUUGUGUCUUUUGUACUCAAAUUUCAGGUGUCAGAGGGAAGAGGAUGAUAAUAUAUAAGUAACUUGAUAGUUUUAAAGCAAUAAUUUUAAGGAAAGAAUAAGAAAUAAUGGCAAAUAGUUAUUUCAUUAACUUAAAAAUGUUGCAGAUCAAGCAUCACAUUUAGAGAAAGAAAUCCUGAAGGCCUUGGAUGUUGCUCAGGACAAACUUAAAGGACAUUUAAGGAGAGUAAUUGCAUCUUUUUCCCUUGCAGACCAACUCUGAAAAGAACUGAAAUACUUUUGGAGGACUCCGAAACUAAGAGCAACACAGAUAAAAGAGGUUAUGGACAGUUUUUAAUAUUUUUGCUGUGCUUUAACUUCAGAACAAUGCAAUUCUGGCAUGCUGCAAAUGAGGAAGUGGACACACUUCAUUUGAAGAAACAAGACUGCAACUUUAUUUAGCAACAAUAACGGCACAAGAAGAGCAGGCAGACAGCCCAUGCCAAGUCCUCAUCUUACUGUUUCUCCAUGUGACCUACAAGCCAGUAAGCUCCGACUGGGGUUUGAAAGGAGCCACUGAGCUUUGCAAGACCAAGCGAUGUCUUCAGAGAUGGCAUUCUCUUUGUGUCAUAACAUAAAUUGUGUCAGAAUUGCAUGCUGCAACUUUGAUCAACCAAAUCUGGGAUGCGUUAAGUAGAAACAAAGGGCUUACUUUCUCAUUAUUAGUUCAAUGUUUUACACUUGAACAUAUUUAUAGUAAUGUUUCCUUAAAAGUCAUCUCAUUUUUUGUGAGUCUUGUCAAAUAUAUAGCCAAGUUCAAUAAUAAAAGGUCAUAAUUAGGUGAAUAAUAUUUCUGUUAUAAAUUGUGUUAAAAUAUAGCAACUUCCCAUGAACAGAUGCCAUGGAACAUUUACUUUUCUUUCAUGAUAUUAGGAAUAUUAUUUUUCUUUUUUUUCUUCAGUUAAAAGCUCUUUUUAAACAUUAAUAUCAGUGUGCUCUGCAAGUAUAUCAGAAAGGAGCAGUACAGUGAAAAGGUUAACCUUUGCCUAACUAAUCACAGGUAGGUGAUUUAAAUUUUUGUCAAAAGAAUAAGAGCACAGUCCACUUAGAAGUUCUUAUUUUUCUUUGUCUUAAAUCCUAGACAUCUCCAAAACACAGAGGAUCAAAACCUGAAUUUAUUUAUAACCAUCUGCACAUUCAUCAGUCAGGCAUUAACUACUGAGGCAGAAACAUCACACUCGAACUUAGUCAUGCAGUAUCCUCUAUUUGUAUUUGUUUACUUUGUGCUUUUUCAUGGAUAUGUUUAUUCAUCAGGAAACUUCCCAGUAAAUAUUUUAAUGUUAAAGCAUUCCCAGCCCAUGAAGAAGGACAUGCAGCAGUUCAGUAAAGAGAGCAGUGCAAGUAUUUGGUACUUCUAACCAGACAUCAGGUGAUACCUGACCGUGGUUGUGCAUUUCCUCGGGGUGGGGAUAGCUGGAAAGGACUCUUCAGAGAGCGCAGCUGAGAAGAGGAAAUUAAUCAGAAAUCUCAUUUUAAAUCUUGAAGAACAGAAAACACAAGUGUGAUCCUAAGCUGCUAUGGGAUAGUGGUCAGAAGCUUGAUAAACAGACUAGUCAGCCUCUCAGACAGGUGAGCACACCUCUUUAGUAGGAGUCUCAGACAGUUAUGCCCUGUCCCACAGCAUGACUUGGAGCAUAGUUCCCUGAAGACUAAGCUACCACAGUCAUGUUCUGUAUUUCUGGCUGCUGUUUCUUUCAACACCGCAGUUAGAUCUGCUUCCUGCUGUAAAUCACACUGAGAGGAAGUAAUCACACAAGGAAUGCAUCCUAGACAUCAGCCAACCAAACAGUUAUCCAUAUGGAAUCAAAUAUGAAAUGACAACCACACAGGGAAGAAUUUAAGUGCUUGUGGUGGUCCGUGAUAUUCUUAAUAAUAGUCUCUCUUGCAGGAAUCCAUUUGAAAGAGACUUACUACCAUGAACUAUUGUUCAAAGAAAAUCCUCUUUCUUUAAAACAAAAACGAAAACAAAACAACAAACAAACAAAAAAGGCAUUUCUUACAAGAACAUCGUCUGUAUCUUGCCAAUUAGUUCAUGAAGAGAGGAGCAAGAUCAGCCCGUGUUCUACCAAUACACUAGAACUAAUCGGAACAGCAUCUGACGGAUGUUAGUUGUUCUUUAAAUGCUCCAUUGUAUUGCAAGUGAUUCAUUAAUAAACAGUCAAAAUGUAAA